CAUGCAAGUUGAACGGGAAUUUAUUUUCUCGUGGCGAACGGGUGAGUAUUCGCAGAAUUUUUCCUUCCAAUUCAGGACAAAAGUCUACUUGAUUAGAUCAAAUACUGAAUAUUUUAAAGGUUAAUUCCGUUGGAAGAUAAAUCUGCAUAAGAUUAGGUUGUUGGUAGAUUAAAAGUUUACCAAGCCCGCGAUCUUUAGUUGGUCUUAGAGGAUGAUCAACCACACUGGAACUGAAAUAAGGUCCAGGCUGACACGUCGGCCAGCAGUGAGGAAUAUUGGACAAUGAACGAAAGUUUGAUCCAGCAAUACUAACUGGGUGAUGACGGCUUAUUUAAGUUGUAAGAUCCUUUAAUUAAAGAAGAUAAUGACAUUAUUUAAUUGAAUUUUAGUCCUGGCUAAUACUCGUGCCAGCAGCCGCGGUAAUACGGGAAGGGCAAGCGUUAUUCGGCAUGACUGGGCGUAAAGGGUCCGUAGACUGCAAAGUAAGUUUUUUGUUAAAUUUUAAGACCCAAUCUUAAUUCCGCAAUUAAUACUGCUUUGCUUUGAGUUUAAUACAGAAAAGUAGAAUUUUAUACGACAGGGGUGAAAUCCGUAGAUAUAUAAAGGAAUGCCAACAGCGAAGGCAACUUUUUGGUAUAAACUGACG
rnacentral:rRNA from 1 species